AGUAAUACAAGGCAUACGGCUCAGUAACGCGUAGUCAACCUACCCUAUGGACGGGAAUAACCUCGGGAAACUGAGUAUAAUGCCCGAUAGAACAUUAUGCCUGGAAUGGUUUAUGUUCCAAAUGAUUUAUCGCCGUAGGAUGGGACUGCGGCCUAUCAGUUUGUUGGUGAGGUAAUGGCCCACCAAGACUAUUACAGGUACGGGCUCUGAGGGGAGUAGCCCGGAGAUGGGUACUGAGACACGGACCCAGGCCCUAUGGGGCGCAGCAGGCGAGAAAACUUUGCAAUGUGCGAAAGCACGACAAGGUUAAUCCGAGUGGUUUCUGCUAAAGGAACCUUUUGUUAGUCCUAAAAACACUAACGAAUAAGGGGUGGGCAAGUUCUGGUGUCAGCCGCCGCGGUAAAACCAGCACCUCAAGUGGUCAGGAUGAUUAUUGGGCCUAAAGCAUCCGUAGCCGGCUUUGUAAGUUUUCGGUUAAAUCCAUGUGCUCAACGCAUGGGCUGCCGAAAAUACUGCAUGGCUAGGGAGUGGGAGAGGUAGACGGUACUCAGUAGGAAGGGGUAAAAUCCUUUGAUCUAUUGAUGACCACCUGUGGCGAAGGCGGUCUACCAGAACACGUUCGACGGUGAGGGAUGAAAGCUGGGGGAGCAAACCGGAUUAGAUACCCGGGUAGUCCCAGCUGUAAACGAUGCAGACUCGAUGAUGCAUUGGCAUAAUAGCUAGUGCAGUGUCGCAGGGAAGCCGUUAAGUCUGCCGCCUGGGAAGUACGUACGCAAGUAUGAAACUUAAAGGAAUUGGCGGGGGAGCACCACAAGGGGUGAAGCCUGCGGUCAAU
rnacentral:rRNA from 1 species